UACGUAGGGUGCAAGCGUUGUCCGGAAUUAUUGGGCGUAAAGAGCUCGUAGGUGGUUCUGUAUGUCUACCGCGAAAGCGUACGGCUCAACCGUAUUUUGUCGGUAGAAACUGCAGGACUUGAGGCUGGGAGGGGCUGGUGGAAUUCCCUGUGUAGCGGUGGAAUGCGCAGAUAUCAGGAAGAACACCGACGGCGAAGGCAGCUCGCUGGGACGGUACUGACGCUGAGGCGCGAAAGCGUGGGGAGCGAACAGG
rnacentral:rRNA from 1 species